UCACACAAGCGCCUAUAAAUCCCAAGC
rnacentral:piRNA from 1 species